CACGUAGGGCGCAAGCGUUGUCCGGAAUUAUUGGGCGUAAAGAGCUCGUAGGCGGUCUGUGCGUCCGCUGUGAAACUCGGGGACCGUUAACCCCGUACGCUGCAGUGGAUACGGGCCGGCUGGAGGCAGGCAGGGGAGAAUGGAAUUCCCGGUGUAGCGGUGAAAUGCGCAGAUAUCAGGAGGAACACCAAUGGCGAAGGCAGCUCGCUGGGACGGUACUGACGCUGAGACGCGAAAGCGUGGGGAGCAAACAGG
rnacentral:rRNA from 1 species